rnacentral:rRNA from 1 species
GUCUUUUUGUUAAUAAUUUAAAGUCGAAUCUGCCCACUGAUUAAUAAUUAAAGGGCUGCAGUAUAUUGACUGUACAAAGGUAGCAUAAUAAUUAGUCUUUUAAUUGAAGACUUGUAUGAAAGAUUUGAUGAGAUAUAAACUGUCUCUUUUUUAUAAUUAGAAUUUAAUUUUUUAGUAAAAAAGCUAAAAUUAUUUUAAAAGACGAGAAGACCCUAUAGAGUUUUAUAAUUUAAUUAAUUAAAAAUUUAUUUAAAAUUUAAAAAAUAAUUAAGUUUAAUUAUUUUAUUGGGGUGAUAAAAAAAUUAAAAUAACUUUUUUUUUAAUUUGAACAUUAAUUGAUGACUAAUUGAUCCAUAUUUUAUGAUUAUAAGAAAAAAUUACCUUAGGGAUAACAGCGUAAUUUUUUUUUUUAGUUCUUAUAAGAAAAAAAGUUUGCGACCUCGAUGUUGGAUUAAGAUAAAAUUUAAAUGCAGAAGUUUAAAAUUUUGAUCUGUUCGAUCAUUAAAAUCUUACA